CAGUAGCCGCGGGAAUACGGAGGGCGCAAGCGUUAAUCGGAAUUACUGGGCGUAAAGCGCACGCAGGCGGUUUGUUAAGUCAGAUGUGAAAUCCCAGAGCUUAACUUGGGAACUGCAUUUGAAACUGGCAAGCUAGAGUCUUGUAGAGGGGGGUAGAAUUCCAGGUGUAGCGGUGAAAUGCGUAGAGAUCUGGAGGAAUACCGGUGGCGAAGGCGGCCCCCUGGACAAAGACUGACGCUCAGGUGCGAAAGCGUGGGGAGCAAACAGGAUUAGAUACCCCGGUAGUCCCUGUCUCUUAUAC
rnacentral:rRNA from 1 species